rnacentral:rRNA from 1 species
AUUGAACGCUGGCGGCAGGCCUAACACAUGCCAGUCGAACGGUAACAGGAAGAAGCUUGCUUCUUUGCUGACGAGUGGCGGACGGGUGAGUAAUGUCUGGGAAACUGCCUGAUGGAGGGGGAUAACUACUGGAAACGGUAGCUAAUACCGCAUAACGUCGCAAGACCAAAGAGGGGGACCUUCGGGCCUCUUGCCAUCGGAUGUGCCCAGAUGGGAUUAGCUAGUAGGUGGGGUAACGGCCCACCUAGGCGACGAUCCCUAGCUGGUCUGAGAGGAUGACCAGCCACACUGGAACUGAGACACGGUCCAGACUCCUACGGGAGGCAGCAGUGGGGAAUAUUGCACAAUGGGCGCAAGCCUGAUGCAGCCAUGCCGCGUGUAUGAAGAAGGCCUUCGGGUUGUAAAGUACUUUCAGCGGGGAGGAAGGGAGUAAAGUUAAUACCUUUGCUCAUUGACGUUACCCGCAGAAGAAGCACCGGCUAACUCCGUG